rnacentral:rRNA from 1 species
CCAUAGGUUAAUGAGGCGAACCGGGGGAACUGAAACAUCUAAGUACCCCGAGGAAAAGAAAUCAACCGAGAUUCCCCCAGUAGCGGCGAGCGAACGGGGAGGAGCCCAGAGCCUGAAUCAGUGUGUGUGUUAGUGGAAGCGUCUGGAAAGGCGCGCGAUACAGGGUGACAGCCCCGUACACAAAAAUGCACAUAUUGUGAGCUCGAUGAGUAGGGCGGGACACGUGGUAUCCUGUCUGAAUAUGGGGGGACCAUCCUCCAAGGCUAAAUACUCCUGACUGACCGAUAGUGAACCAGUACCGUGAGGGAAAGGCGAAAAGAACCCCGGCGAGGGGAGUGAAAAAGAACCUGAAACCGUGUACGUACAAGCAGUGGGAGCACGCUUAGGCGUGUGACUGCGUACCUUUUGUAUAAUGGGUCAGCGACUUAUAUUCUGUAGCAAGGUUAACCGAAUAGGGGAGCCGAAGGGAAACCGAGUCUUAACUGGGCGUUAAGUUGCAGGGUAUAGACCCGAAACCCGGUGAUCUAGCCAUGGGCAGGUUGAAGGUUGGGUAACACUAACUGGAGGACCGAACCGACUAAUGUUGAAAAAUUAGCGGAUGACUUGUGGCUGGGGGUGAAAGGCCAAUCAAACCGGGAGAUAGCUGGUUCUCCCCGAAAGCUAUUUAGGUAGCGCCUCGUGAAUUCAUCUCCGGGGGUAGAGCACUGUUUCGGCAAGGGGGUCAUCCCGACUUACCAACCCGAUGCAAACUGCGAAUACCGGAGAAUGUUAUCACGGGAGACACACGGCGGGUGCUAACGUCCGUCGUGAAGAGGGAAACAACCCAGACCGCCAGCUAAGGUCCCAAAGUCAUGGUUAAGUGGGAAACGAUGUGGGAAGGCCCAGACAGCCAGGAUGUUGGCUUAGAAGCAGCCAUCAUUUAAAGAAAGCGUAAUAGCUCACUGGUCGAGUCGGCCUGCGCGGAAGAUGUAACGGGGCUAAACCAUGCAC